rnacentral:rRNA from 1 species
UACCAGCAGCCCCGAGUGGUCGGGACGUUUAUUGGGCCUAAAGGCAUCCGUAGCCGGUUCUACAAGUCUUCCGUUAAAUCCACCUGCCUUGAACAGAUGGGCUGCGGAAGAUACUAUAGAGCUAGGAGGCGGGAGAGGCAAGCGGUACUCGAUGGGUAGGGGUAAAAUCCGUUGAUCCAUUGAAGACCACCAGUGGCGAAGGCGGCUUGCCAGAACGCGCUCGGACGGUGAGGGAUGAAAGCUGGGGGAGCAAACCGG